rnacentral:lncRNA from 1 species
CCUGAUUUGCCCAGUACUGAGGGGUUCCCCUUUCUGAUUUUCCACUGAUUCAUUAGACAACUAUGUAUUAAGCAUAGACUUUGUGCCAGGCACUGUUCUAAAGGCUGGGGAGAUGGAAAUGGCAGUGGAGGGAAGAGACUUGCCUUCUUAGAACUUCAAUUCCACUGAGAUGGACAACAAGACAGACACAUGGGUGUCAGGUGCUUGGUGGAAGUAGAGCUGGAAAGCGGAGGCAGGCAGAGCUGCAGGUCUUUG